GAAAGAUUUGUUAGAGUUUAGCUUAAUUGUUAAGAGCAAUAUGAAUAUGCUGUAGUUGACUCCAAUCACACUCUUUUUCUAUUGGUCCUCUUUAAGUAAAACAUGUUUGUUUUGUUUCAGCCUAGUCCAUUUUUCACUGAACAAUUGGCGGCUUUUGAGGAGUGGCUUGACCAUGGAUCUGAGCAUAAGAAACCGCCAGAGCAGUUGCCUAUUGUUCUUCAGGUUUUGCUUAGUCAAUGCCAUCGAUUUUGAGCACUGGUUCUUCUUGGAAGAUUCCUUGAUAUGGGAGGGUGGUAGAUCUGGCCUUCUGUCGGAAUAUUUCCAUAUGUCCUGAAGUUGUUGCAAACAACACUUGAGCUACGAAAAAUUCUUGUAUUUAUAUGGACGAAGACUCUAGCACUUGAUAAGGUAUAUACCUAAAUCUACUUCA